AUGAUCUCUAGAGCUCCCUUCCAACCCCUACAAUUCUUUGAUUCUGUGUGAUCUUUGUUGUUAUAGACAUAUAUUUUAACCCCUGACAGCAGAGUAUCAUCAGUGCAAUAGGUGCUCACAAGAAUUUCAGCCAGUAAAUUCAGCAGAGGUUCAACCGGUGACCAGCUUCCAACUUACCUCACAGCUCAAUGCAGUUUGGCAUUGGAUAACCUAUGCUACUGUUAUCUCUCUUACCUAAAGAGACUGAGCAGACUGGUUUGUAAUCACUGAAGGACAAUACAGUAAGUUAAUGAUGGGAAGCAAGAAUUGCACCGCAAAUAAAUUAAUUGGUCUAAAAUCUCCAAGAUUUUUACUCAGUUUUUCUUAGCACUUGUUAAAGAAAUAAAAGACAAAUUAGUAACAGUUUUGGCAUCCUGUAGGAGAUGAAAAUGUAGUAUUUUUGUAUUCCUUUUGUAGGACACUGUUAUCAUAGUUCAGUGUAGCCUGUACCUUUAGAUACUAAAUCACUCUUCUCAUUGACAAGCUUUCCAAGCUUCUGGCCUGUCUUUGUGCUUCUGACAAGGAAAAUUCCUACAGUCAUCAUCUUUAUAGAAUCUCUGAGUUAAUAACUUUUUCAGCAAUAUUUUUCCUCCAUAAGUCUAAUUGGAAUUUAGCACUACUGUAAAUUCCAUGUGUUGCAGAGAAUAGCAAAAAUGGUAGGAAGAGGGAAUCAAUUAUUAAAGAAAGCAUAAAGAUUUAUCUGUAGCAUCUGAGAGAAGGAGUUAGAAGCAAGGAAGUCCUAUGCUAAGAUUUUCUUGAGUUUCAUUUCUUCACUCUAUAAAGUGAGUCCCACUUGUCCAGGGCCCUUCUCCACUGUGUCUGGUUGAGGCAAUCCAACUCCUUGCUGCUUGCUCAGAGUGCCCUAUAUCUGAUUUUGUCAGGUUUCUUUUUACCUAUUUUGUUCCAGAAUUCUACAUCUAUCCUGGAACCCCUCUCUUUAUAUGUGUGCAUAUAAAGUGUGGAAAAUAAUAAGGAAAAUCAGAAGACUUCUCCCACGUUUUUUCAAUUUCCAAUACAAGCCUGCAGAAACAGCUGCUGUAAUUAUGAAUUCCAUUGGAAGGUGUGCCAUUCUGGUUAAAUAUCAGGUGCAUCCCCAUUGCUAAUUACACAGGGGUGGAGGAAGCCAGGAUGUAGCUAUUUAGCUGUUGGAAGGAUGGCUUUCUGUGACAGUCACUCAAGCUGGUGAAUACACUAAAACGAGUAUCCCCUCUUUUUGAAUAUAUUGCAUUUUGUAAGGGGAAAAAAUAUCAAAGUUCUUAAGAACGUUUCUAAGGAAAUGUAAUUUUCAAGCAGCUAAAGCUAUUUGUUCUUGUUCUUUGUUCCUCAGAUAGUAGUCGUGGAUCUCACAGUAAUGAAGGUUCCUGCCUAUUGUGUCUUAUCACUUCAAUAUUAAUGAGUGAACAUGCAGUCUGUAACCGUGGCAGUUUUGCAUAGAGAAGUCAUGGGGGUGGCUGGCUUAGAGGCUGUAAAGUUCUUGUGAAGUCUAAAAGGAAAGUGAAAGUGAGCACUGACAACAAUUGAUUGCAUCUUUACUACAGAAGAGGGAUAAGAGCAAAUUAAAACUGGUGGCCAUUCCACUUCAAGAUCACACAAACCAUGGCUGCCUGGAACUUACCUUGUCACUCACACAUGAGGAAGUCUUGCUCUUCCAUCAGAGGUAACACAAUUGCCAGAAAGAUUUGUAUUUCUUUGAGCCUGACAAAGGCACAGUGGGACCAAUGCAGCUGCUUCAGGUGUGGAGGAGCAGGGAAAAGCCUGAGGACA